rnacentral:lncRNA from 1 species
AACCCUUAAGGCCGGCCAUUUAGAGGAGGGUAGUGAACUUGCUUUAAUUACAAGUUUGUCACUCCAAUGAAGGAAGGUAUAAAUAUGACUUUAUAGCCAAAAUUCAUUUAGGGUUUCUUUUGGAGAAAAGAUGAGAACACAAACUCUCUUUUCUCUCUAAGAGGCCGGCCACCCUAGAGGAACAUAGCUAGCAAUCUUACUUCCUUUAGGUCACUUUUCUUAAAAUCUUACCUUGGUGUGGAGACUUAGAGGUUCUCAAUUUUGAGAACUUGGAGAAACCUAUUCUUCAACUCCGCCUAUGUCUUACAUGGCCGGUCCCAAGCCCGGAUAAAGGAGGAGGGGGAGGGCGUCAGGUAGUCGACAGCCGGCACUCCAUGAUCACGUCGAAUCCUUAUGAAAAUGAAUCCAGAACAAAAUCGCGCUAAAGCUAGGGCGUCACCCGUAAGUGGCGCGCUGUGUGUAGCCGACCCCACUUAGUGGGAAAAGGCUUUGUUGUUGUUGUUGUUGUUGGAGAAACCUAUUCUUCCAUCCAAAUCCAUGGAGCUAAGAAGCAAGGAAUGAAGGCCCUAUCUCUUGGGUGAUUAUCCUUUG